UGGAAACAUCAGGUUUUAACAUUUUCCCUGCCACAUCGCCUUACUUAUAUACAUUUUGGCCAGCAGAUGGCAGCACUCAACCAAGGUUAUUUUCAGCAAAACUCCAGACAAAACCUGAGAUUGCAAAGAGGGGAGGUAAAACAAUGAGACAUCCUCAACCCAGGAGUUGAAGGUGACAAUGUCAUUAUAUGAUGUACAGUCACUAUAGGGAGAUGCCAUUUUUAUUGGCACUUAAGUGAUGAGGCAGGAAGGAAAGAACUUGUAAACAGUGAGACUUGGAAGAAACUCCACUUGGUUCUCUCUCUCCUCUCCUCUGUCUUCUCCCCCAAAGCCCAGAACUGCUCCCAUGAAAGUCUGAUACCCGACCCCCUUAUCUCAGCCAUCUUUACUAGUUGCUGAGCCCCAGGGCAGGCCAGAGACUGGUUUAAAACACCACAGCUAGCAGGUGCCAGAGCUAGGACUUAAAGACAAGAAUUUGGAUAAGCCCAGUCCUUCCACUGGAACGGAAACUGGUUCUGAGCUCAUGCCAUUUAUUUGCAAAAUGAGUGGGCUCAAAGGUAACAGGGACCUGGGCACCAAGGAUUCCCUGAUGAAGAAUCCUUGCAGUUCAUUUUGACCCACAAUAUCCCAGAGACAGACCUUUUGUAUUGCUUUGGAGCCUCUUCCCACAUCUGCAGCUGAAUGUGACAGGAUGUGGGUAAGAGGACUUAGAUACUGCGAUGCAGGAAUCCCUGGCUUUACAUAACACAAGCUCUGCUCUGCUGACGGUGCAAAACUCAAUACAAGAAAGAAGCAACUCAAGAAAGACACGCAUGGCUGUGAACAUUUUGAUUUGUUGUAAUUUCCUCCCCAUACCUCACCCCCACGUGUCAGUGAUAACACUUGGCUUUAACCAGAAGGAAAAGAAAAAUGAAGCACAGUCCUGUACCCUA